rnacentral:rRNA from 1 species
GAUGAAUGCUGGCGGCGUGCCUAACACAUGCAAGUCGAGCGGCAGCGAGGGGUGCUUGCACCCUGUCGGCGAGCGGCGAACGGCUGAGUAACGCGUAGGAAUUUGCCCCAAAGUGAGGAAUAACUGCCCGAAAGGGUAGCUAAUGCCGCAUAUGGUCUUCGGAUUAAAGGAUUUAUCCGCUUUGGGAGAAGCCUGCGUUGGAUUAGGUUGUUGGUAGGGUAAUGGCCUACCAAGCCGACGAUCCAUAGCUGGUCUGAGAGGAUGAUCAGCCAGACUGGAACUGAGACACGGUCCAGACUCCUACGGGAGGCAGCAGUGAGGAAUCUUCCACAAUGGGCGGAAGCCUGAUGGAGCAACGCCGCGUGAAGGAUGAAGGCCUUCGGGUUGUAAACUUCUUUUAUGAGUGAAGAAUAUGACGGUAACUCAUGAAUAAGCACCGGCUAACUACGUG